AAUAUGAAGUUUGGUGGUGAAGUGGAGGAAGUAUUGGGGCUUGAGCAAUUCAGAGCUGCAAUAUCUUUACCUGGUGUCUCGGUAGUUCAUUUCAAAUCAUCCUCUAAUUUGCACUGCAAACAAAUAUCUCCCUUCUUUGUGGAUACCCUAUGCAGCCGCUAUCCAUCCAUAAAUUUUCUCAAGUUGGAUAUUGAAAACAACCCAGCAGUUGCA
rnacentral:misc_RNA from 1 species